rnacentral:rRNA from 1 species
CCUACGGGGGGCAGCAGUGGGGAAUAUUGGACAAUGGGGGGAACCCUGAUCCAGCCAUGCCGCGUGUGUGAAGAAGGCCCUCGGGUUGUAAAGCACUUUCAGUGAGGAAGAACGCCUGGUGGUUAAUACCCAUCAGGAAAGACAUCACUCACAGAAGAAGCACCGGCCAACUCCGUGCCAGCAGCCGCGGUAAUACGGAGGGUGCGAGCGUUAAUCGGAAUUACUGGGCGUAAAGCGCGCGUAGGUGGCUUGAUAAGCCGGUUGUGAAAGCCCCGGGCUCAACCUGGGAACGGCAUCCGGAACUGUCAAGCUAGAGUGCAGGAGAGGAAGGUAGAAUUCCCGGUGUAGCGGUGAAAUGCGUAGAGAUCGGGAGGAAUACCAGUGGCGAAGGCGGCCUUCUGGACUGACACUGACACUGAGGUGCGAAAGCGUGGGUAGCAAACAGGAUUAGAUACCCCAGUAGUC